rnacentral:rRNA from 1 species
GAUGAACGCUGGCGGCGUGCUUAACACAUGCAAGUCGAACGGGAAUUCUUUUAUUGAAACUUCGGUCGAUUUAAUUUAAUUCUAGUGGCGGACGGGUGAGUAACGCGUGGGUAACCUGCCUUAUACAGGGGGAUAACAGUCAGAAAUGGCUGCUAAUACCGCAUAAGCGCACAGAGCUGCAUGGCUCAGUGUGCAAAACUCCGGUGGUAUAAGAUGGACCCGCGUUGGAUUAGCUGGUUGGUGGGGUAACGGCCCACCAAGGCGACGAUCCAUAGCCGGCCUGAGAGGGUGAACGGCCACAUUGGGACUGAGACACGGCCCAGACUCCUACGGGAGGCAGCAGUGGGGAAUAUUGCACAAUGGGGGAAACCCUGAUGCAGCGACGCCGCGUGAAGGAAGAAGUAUCUCGGUAUGUAAACUUCUAUCAGCAGGGAAGAUAGUGACGGUACCUGACUAAGAAGCCCCGGCUAACUACGUG